rnacentral:rRNA from 1 species
GGUGUCAGUAGGUUGGUCGUGCCACCGGUACGUACUGGUCUCACUGAUUCCUCCUUCCUGAAGAACCGUAAUGCCAUUAAUUUGGUGUUGCGGGGAAACAGGACUGUUACUUUGAAAAAAUUAGAGUGUUUAAAGCAAGCUAACGCUUGUAUACAUUAGCAUGGAAUAAUGAAAUAGGACGAUCGAUCCUAUUUUGUUGGUUUCUAGGAUUGACGUA